rnacentral:lncRNA from 1 species
UACGACACAUACAUAGUUAUUAUUUUUUUUCUUUGUGGAGUAUUAUUGCUAGUUACUCUAUCUUUCAUUGAAAUCAAUCUAAUGCCAAAAUUUAGAUAAUACGUAGGUGAGUUUCAACCAUGAAUAUUGUGACUCAUCUUAAGCUAAUUUUUUUUAGAUGCGUCCACCAAUCAUUAUAGGCGGUCAUACUUAUGGGAGAAUUCCAA